rnacentral:rRNA from 1 species
UACAGAGGGUGCAAGCGUUAAUCGGAUUUACUGGGCGUAAAGCGUGAGUAGGUGGCUCGCUAAGUCGGUUGUGAAAUCCCUGGGCUCAACCUGGGAAUUGCAGUCGAUACUGACGAGCUCGAGUUUCGGUAGAGGGUGACGGAAAUUCCCGGUGUAGCGGUGAAAUGCGUAGAUAUCGGGAGGAACAUCAGUGGCGAAGGCGACUGCCUGGCCCAACACUGACGCUGAGGUGCGAAAGCGUGGGUAGCAAACAGG